UCCUGGCUUGGGCAUUUCGUACACUCUAUGGUGAUCAUGAGCGAUACGAAACAACAUACUUCAAACCAUUCCCAGGAUACUAUUUUACUGGUGAUGGCUGUAGCAGGGACAAGGAUGGUUACCACUGGCUGACUGGUAGAGUUGAUGAUGUCAUCAAUGUCAGUGGACACCGGAUUGGGACGGCA